rnacentral:ncRNA from 1 species
AGAACUGCUAUUUCGAAGUGUGGAAUGAUGGGGUAACGUCCUGAAACACACUCGCUGAAGCUACGACAUGCAAGCGGAUGACUGCAAAACUGAAACUUGUAUGAAGCUCGUUAAAGUAGGCUGAAGUUCACCCAAACAGUACGGCUGUGGAAAAGGAUAUCAAAUCCUGUGAAUGAUAGGUCUGGCGUCUAUAAA